GGAUAACGUUUGGAAACGAACGCUAAUACCGCAUGAUAUUAGUGAGCUGCAUGGCUUGAUAAUCAAAGGAGCAAUCCGCUGAAAGAUGGGCUCGCGUCCGAUUAGGUAGUUGGCGGGGCAACGGCCCACCAAGCCGACGAUCGGUAGCCGGACUGAGAGGUUGAACGGCCACAUUGGGACUGAGACACGGCCCAGACUCCUACGGGAGGCAGCAGUGAGGGAUAUUGGUCAAUGGGGGAAACCCUGAACCAGCAACGCCGCGUGAGGGAAGACGGUUUUCGGAUUGUAAACCUCUGUCCUCUGUGAAGAUAAUGACGGUAGCAGAGGAGAAAGCUCCGGCUAACUACGUGCCAGCAGCCGCGGUAAUACGUAGGGAGCAAGCGUUGUCCGGAUUUACUGGGUGUAAAGGGUGCGUAGGCGGCUUUGCAAGUCAGAAGUGAAAUCCAUGGGCUUAACCCAUGAACUGCUUUUGAAACUGCAGAGCUUGAGUGGAGUAGAGGUAGGCGGAAUUCCCGGUGUAGCGGUGAAAUGCGUAGAGAUCGGGAGGAACACCAGUGGCGAAGGCGGCCUGCUGGGCUCUAGCUGACGCUGAGGCACGAAAGCGUGGGUAGCAAACAGGAUUAGAUACCCUGGUAGUCCACGCUGUAAACGAUGAUUACUGGGUGUGGGUGGACUGACCCCAUCCGU
rnacentral:rRNA from 1 species